CACGUGUUGCCGAUUCUGCUGGAUAUGGCAUAGCUGGAGGACGAGCAGAGGGCAGCGCGAUGCAGCGGCUCACAUCAGGGCUUCCACUGUGACAGCAUCAUUGUCUCUGAUGAGGACUGCACUCCAGAGCCGAGCACAGACCGGGACAAGACCGGGAUCGAGGUGAAGUAGAGGAGGGAGGGCAGCCAGGGUCCGUGGAAGAAGAGGCAGGACGGGAAGGACGAGGUGCAAGCCGAGCAGCACAUACCUGCGUCGAGCUUCACACUCUAACAACGGCAUAUGAACAGACCAGAAUCUGAGCACUGUUGACAACAUCCAGACUACUGGGUUUCCAUGCACCACACAUGGCUGAUCUUCCAGACCCAGGACAGAGUAACAGACAGUUCAGUCAGGCAGCAUACAGACAGGUUGUAGUGUGGCAGUGUGGAGCACUUAGACACAGAGUCGUGAUACUGAGUUGCAGUUUCCAGAAGAUAUGCAACUAUUCUCCUGAUCCACCAGGACAAUACAGACGGUUUAAUCCUAGCAGGGUGUAAGAUGUAAUGGCACUAACUGACACAGUGCUACACAAAUGAUUCCAUCCACUGUGUGGAUAAAUACCUGUCCAUUGUUUUUGUUUUAUUCCCAGGAGGGUAGAGAAAAUACAAAGUA